rnacentral:rRNA from 1 species
CCCAGACUCCUACGGGAGGCAGCAGUGGGGGAUAUUGCACAAUGGGGGAAACCCUGAUGCAGCGACGCCGCGUGGGUGAAGAAGCGCCUCGGCGCGUAAAGCCCUGUCAGCAGGGAAGAAAAUGACGGUACCUGAAGAAGAAGCCCCGGCUAACUACGUGCCAGCAGCCGCGGUAAUACGUAGGGGGCAAGCGUUAUCCGGAUUUACUGGGUGUAAAGGGGGCGCAGACGGCGAUGCAAGCCAGGAGUGAAAGCCCGGGGCCCAACCCCGGGACUGCUCUUGGAACUGCGUGGCUGGAGUGUAGGAGGGGCAGGCGGAAUUCCUGGUGUAUCGGUGAAAUGCGUAGAUAUCAGGGGGAACACCGGUGGCGAAGGCGGCCUGCUGGACUGCAACUGACGUUGAGGCCCGAAAGCGUGGGGAGCAAACAGGAUUAGAUACCCCAGUAGG